GAGAUGGCUUAGUGGUUAAGAGCACUGGCUUUUUUUCCAGAGGUCCUGAGUUCAAUUCCCAGCAAUCUCA
rnacentral:tRNA from 1 species